rnacentral:lncRNA from 10 species
AUUAAUUAGUGCUGCAGAGAUCUAGGGGAGGCCUUUAUCUGAAGAGCAGUUCAACCAUUAGCAAAGGAAACUUCCUUGUGCACCAGCGGCUCAGAUAACAAGUUGGCUACCUUGUUGCCCCAGGGCACCUGUCUUGGGGAUAACCAAGAAUGUGGAUGGUGAUGGCCAUGGUGCAAGACUCAGCUUCAGUGGGGGCUGCUCCCAGGAUGUCGGGCUCACGGACCCCUCUCAUUGAUGCCAGUCUCAGGUGGCUCUAUCCCUGGAAGAACAUUCAGGUCAUUUUUGCAUCAUUUGAUCCUUGAAACUAUACUAAGAAGGGGUCAGAGUGAUAUCACCGUUUUCUCAAAUGUGAGAAUGAACACUGGCAAGAUAAAGUGACUUAUUCAAACGUACCCAGAGAGCUGAUGAGAAAGUCAAGCCUAGGAAGCAUGUAAGUCUCAUUCAUUCAUUCAUCAGUUCGUUGAAUAUCUUAUGGGUUUGGUGCCAGGGAUACUAUAGUAGCAAGACACACUAAAUAAUGUCACUGGAGACAAGACGUAGCCCCAUUUUCCAUCUUGUAGUCCCAGUCUCAACCUCUGGUUUAUUCUCCUGAGAAUCAAUAAUGAUACAGAAGCAGAGCUGGGGAGUGGAACUGAAAUUUCUCAAUUUGGGACACAAUCUUGCUCUCAGUUAUUGAUACAGAAGUUGACACAUAAAAAGUGAAGGGUAAUUCAAACCAACAUUAUCAUAUCUGCUAAAACUUCUAAGUGUCCAAUUCUUGAUUGUGAAAAUCAUGUAUUUGCACC